UACGGAGGGUGCAAGCGUUAUCCGGAUUUAUUGGGUUUAAAGGGUCCGUAGGCGGAUCUGUAAGUCAGUGGUGAAAUCUCACAGCUUAACUGUGAAACUGCCAUUGAUACUGCAGGUCUUGAGUAAGGUAGAAGUGGCUGGAAUAAGUAGUGUAGCGGUGAAAUGCAUAGAUAUUACUUAGAACACCAAUUGCGAAGGCAGGUCACUAUGUCUUAACUGACGCUGAUGGACGAAAGCGUGGGGAUCGAACAGG
rnacentral:rRNA from 1 species